GCAGGGCAGCUGCCGGCUGUCUCGUUUCCCUCACUUGGGCUCUGGCCGCACAGCCUGGAUGCAGGAGGAAUGCCCUGGGGGCCCCCAGGCCAUGCCGCAGGGUCUCCAGACAGCAGGGGGCCACCAUCAAGGAGCAAGGUGUUCCAGGCACUCAGGAAGCCUGCCGGACACAGGUGGGGCAGUACAUUGGCUACCAUACCACAGCAGUGACCCCUCCUGUCCCAGGAGGCCCUGCAGAGCUCCCUGGAAACCCCACCGAGCUGAGGAGCAGAGCAAGAGUCCCCAGGAGCUCACGGGAUGAACCCAAGGCCUGGGGCUGGCAGAUGGAGCUGCACCCCCAGCCCCAGAUUCUUCCUCCACGAAGGACACUCGGAAGCUCUGAAAAUGUUUCCAAAGACAACAGUUCCAGAAAGCUGUUCCCAAGGACACUCAAGCCGGGCAGCCUGUGAUGUACAUGCCCAGCUCGGGCAAGGCUGGGAAAGGAGAAAACACUGGAGCCACUGCCCAACAAGGACCUGGAGGACCUGGAGAACCUGGAACCCUGUGUGGCACAGCAGCCCCUCACACAGAGCAGAUUGACAUGCAGCUGGAGCCCCGAGGUGGGUGUGCACCCUGGACUGGGGGGCGGGUGAGGUGCUGUACACAGCUGCCCACAGCAGGGACAUCGAGUGCUUAGUGGGGUCUGGGCACUGCUCAGGGAGACCAGCCGGACAUGGGACAGUGGCUGUGGAUGCCGCCUACGCAAGCCCCAGAGGGUUUCCAGGGCCAGAGUGUCCGUCAGAAGGGGCACACACUCAGGCCAGGCUGGGUACUGCUACGCUGUGGGCAGUGGCUCUGUGCCACAGGACUAUGUGCCUGGAGGUGGCCGCGCUGGUGCCAGGUAUGUAAUGUUUCACUGCCAUGCGGGCCCCUGCAGCCUGGAUAGAGACACAGGCACCAGCUGGGGCCCCUGGGAGGACAGCAAGCUGUGGGUCCCUGUGUAUCUUUCUGGGGUCCACAGGGGUGGGGACAGCUGAGAGGGGACCUGGAGUGGGGCUGGCAGGCAGGGCUGGGGGACAUUGGUGCUCUGGGUGGCAGCUGGCCAGGGGCUGGCCCUCAGAGAGGAAGGAAGAGCAGAAUACUGCUGCCCAAGUCUCAAGUGUCCAGGGCCCAGCUGACAGGAUGGGUGCCCAUGACAGGGGCAGUCUUGAUGCUGAGGUUCUGGGGGACUAGCAUCACCUCGGUCACCACUGCCCCAGAUCCAGCUCCCAAAGGCCCUCGGCUGGUCUGAACCUCUUGGUGCCUGGCCAAGCUACUGACCGCUUCCUUCUGGGCAAUUUCCAUGCCCACAACGUGCCGGUCCCACAUGGAUGUCCCUGCCUCAGUGGCCGGUACUCUCCCUCCCCUGUACCCUCCCUCCCUCUCCUGUACCCCCUGCACCCCGUGAACAGAGCUCUGGAAACCCCAGCCUCACAGGCCUGUGCUGACCAUGGCACACAGCAGCACGCUGGAGUCUGGGAGGUGCCCUGGGCACUGUAGGCUCCCUGCUGGAUAUCAGCUGUGGCACUGGGCCAAGGGGCACAGGGAGGCUGCUGAAGGCCCUGCAGACCUGGCCCCAAGGAGUGCAGCCAUGGGCAGGAGUUGGGCCCUGUGCUGCUCUUCUUGCUGUCACCAGCACAGGACCCAGGUCCCUGUGCACCCGUGGGUCCUGUCAGGCCCUGGUCCCGGGAGGAAGCAAGGCUAUGGUUCUUGAGGGUAUGGUGGGGCUAAAAAACUUCCCCAGGGCAUGGCAGGAUGGACAAGGGACAGUAGCCAACAGGGUGACCAGAGGCACCAGGAGAACAACACAGAGACCAGAGAUAAGAGGGACAGGCCGACCUGACCUCGGAGUGCCCCUGACCCACCCCGCCCCGCCCUGCUGUGGAGGUGGUGGCACCUGCCAGGGCUCAGGAGCAGAUAGCCCAGGACUGUGAGCAGGAAGACUCACCCAGGGAAAGGGGCCUGGUGUGGAGCCCGGAGCACAUCUCAGGGUGCCCUGGGGCUGAGGGGUCACAGGGCUGGGGACAUCACUAGGGACACAGACACCACGUCCAGGAUAGUGGUGUGGGCCGGGCAGUCACCAGCACCACCUGCCUGGACUCUGGGCCAGGGCCACUGUGCUGCCAUGGGAACAGAGCCCCGAGGGGAGGAACAGCUGUGUCUACCGCUCUAGGACUCCAUCCUACCUGGCGCUCAAGGUGACAUGUGGAAGGAACCAGCUCUCCCGCUCACCCUGCAAGCCAGGGCUCCUAUGGGGUACAUGAGCAGGUGCACCCCAACACAGCCCCAGAGAGGCUGGGAGGUCUUUGGAUGCUUUUAUACACAGCUGAAGGACAGAUGGGCAUCGGGGGACACUGCCGACCCUGUAAACUGCUGCACUUCCCGCCCUGGGCAGAAAUGCUCCUUUUUAUUGUUGAUUCACUGCACAAGGACCAGGGCGGGCUGUCCACCUGGUCAGCUCCUGCCCAUCUGUUCAAGCAUAGGUGCCUGGUACUAGUACUGCCCAGCUGUCAAGGGGGCCCUGGGGCUCAGGGGCUAGGGGCCCGGGGGCACAGGCAUGGAGCGAGGGUCCCUCACCACCCACUCUGGCUCAUAGAUCCCCCUAGGCAGCUAGGUCCCCCUGGCCCUCUCCUCCUGCCUCAGCUGUAACCAAAGGGUAGAGUCUGAGGUCAGCACUGGGAGCCCUGCUGCCAUGGUGGUCCUUGUUCCACCCUCCGCCCCCAGGCGAGAGCUGGGUGUACACUGCCACAGGCUCAGCCAGAGCCCAGGUCUGCCAUGAACAGAAGGCCACAGAGCCUGGUUCAGAGGGAGGUGGCAGCGCACACGUGAGCUGCAGCCAUUGGUGGGUGCCUCACCAGGCAAGCCUGGGCCCCUUUCGCAGAAGAAACUGGGUGAGUAUUUUGGUUUUCUGAGAACAUCUGCAGAGCCUGUGACUUCCCUGGCUGGGAACUAGGGCAGCACUGUUUUGGUCUCUGCUCGCUUCCCCGUUCAGAUCGGACACUCAUCUUCUUCCUCUUUUGUCCUAAAUUUCACUCUGCUGUUCAGUGCAGCUGUGCAGCAGCUGCUGAGGUCUCCUCCUCCUGAAAAGGCUGAGGGUCACCGGCUGCUGCAGUUUACUUCCUCCCAGAGAGAGCACGGAGGCUCAGCCGCGUCCUGUCCAGGUGGACACCCAGUGAGAGGGACUUUCUGGCAGUGUCCGUGGCUCGGGAACAUGGGUGAGACAAGGGAAAGGACCUCGGGACGAGUGCUGGGGCCUCCUUUCCCAGAAAGGCAAGCGGCAUGCCAGGCUCCGGGGCCAGCAGGGAGGCACCUUUGCACCACACUAGACGUCCUGGAGUGGAACUGCCCAUGGAACAUCCCACCACCAAUGCCUGGGGAGGGGUGAUCAGCAGCUCCGCCCUACUGGGCCUACAGCCCAGCCUGGUACCUUCCCCGAGAGCCUGGCAGUGCUGCCGGGAGGAAUGGAGGUGCUGGUCCUUGGUCUCCACCAGCCCUGGGCACUGGACAUGCAGGGAGCCUCUCCUCACCCCAGUCCCAGACACGCCCCGUGUCCAACUGCAGCUCUGCCUGAGCCGCGGGUGCAGGCCUGCCUCCCUUCCCUGCUGUCCACUGGGCAGGCUGGCCCCAGGCUGGCCUCACCAUCAUCAGCCUGGCUGCAGGCUCUGGAAGGCAAUGUUGGCCCUUGCUUUUGGAGAGUGAUAUGGUGCCCCCAGCCCCCUUCUGGCUUGGACAACACAAAAGCAGAAACAGGACUGUGAACAGUGUGUGACCACACACACCACACGAUUUGCACACACUCACACGCACACACACAGGUGCUGGGAUGAGGGUCACCCUGGCCACAGCCCCCUGAGUCACACCAUGAGCAGCAGCCGGUGCCGGGCCAGCUGGGGACGCACCAUUGAGGGAGAUAAUGGUGCAUGUACAUUAGGACGCCCGGUGCAUUAGGGAGCCGAGAGGCAGGGUUAGCGCAGCACGAUUUGCAAAACACACAAAUAAUUCAUGUUGCCAUGACGUCAUGGCGCUGUUGUCAGUAAUGAAUUCACACAACACCGGGUUUACAUCACAUGGCUCCCACCUGGGCCAGGAGUGGGCAGUCACUGGCACAGAGACCCCGGGGCUUGAGGGAGCCUGGCCAGGUCCCAGCAAUUUCUCAAGAGAGGCAUUCACUCCUGUCAGGAGAGCAGCUGGCUGCCAGAGUGGGCUGGUCAGGGAGGGUCAGAGGGUACUGAGCCCAGGGACAGAGCCCAAGGUGACAUGGGCUCCCUGCAGCACUAUCCACGGCCCCCAGUCACCCAGAGUCUGGCUGGCCAGGGCCCAAGUGCUGGUCUUGUUGCCAAGCCUUGAAGACCAGUCCUUGGUGCCAGACCUCAGAAGGGCAAAGGUCACCCUUCGUGGGUAUCCGAUGCAAAACCGGAACCGGAACCUCUUCUGAGUCCGCCAGCUGGAGCCACAUUCCUGCAUCCCAGACUGAGGGCCAUCUGUCACUGGCAUCAGUCAUCUGUCUGGAGGGGGCAGACCCCCAGCUAGAGUGGCACUGAUGCAGCCAUGCCUGCCUUGCUGGGCUGAGUCCAUCCCCUGCUGCCACAAAGCAGGUCCAGCGUCUCCCAGGGUCAUGCCGGCCGGCCAGCCUGGACUUAAUCAAUCUGUGUAUGAAUAUUCAUAUGGCAUGCAGCAGGAGAGCAUUCAUUUCUGAGAAAGCAGGAAGAACACAGUCCUCGUUUGAGGAAUGAGCGUCCAUUCUCGGCUGACUCGCUGGGCUCCAUGUUGGGUGCCCAGGGCAGAACCUCACCCUCUGCCUAUGACAGCUUUAGCCUCCUGCUUCCUCUGCAGCAGUGCCCUGACCUUAGAGCCACCUUUGCCCGCCAUCUCCUUCCUCAAGCCUCCGGCCUGCUCUUCCUCUACCUUUCCCACAGGGCUUCAGCACCCACAGGUCCCUUGGCCUUCCCACACCUUUGGAGACCCCAAGGACACUGCCUUGGCUUGUGAAGCAGCCUAUGGAGCUGACCUUUCCUGUCCCAGGGCCCCACCGGUUCCCUUGCUGCAUCCAGGUAGCAUCAACCCUGCCCACGGCCAGACAAGGCCACAUGGCCAGGCACUGGGAGAUCAGCAUCUCUGGCUGCCUGUGCACAGGAGUCCACAGCCCCUAACCCUGGGCCAAUGGUGUGAUCAGCAUGGGACAUGGCCAAGCUGGCCCUCACGGAUGUCACUCCCCAACUCUGGUCAGGACGGCAGGUGGCCACAGCUGGUCGAGACAGAGAUGGGCACACGCACAAUCUCUGCCUGGCCUGGGGCUACCGGGAGACUCUAGCUGAGGUGUUGUGGGGGUGAGGUGGGCAGCCACCGGCUGUGGCUCAGGACUCAACCAUGUUUGGGGGGGGCCGAGGGCAGCCAGAGCUCAGGCUGCAACAGUGGCAUUGCCCACCCCAUGUCCGCCUUAACCGAGGCUGCUCUCCUGCCUGCCAGGCUCGUUUGCCACCCAGCCCCAGGCGCGGUGCAGACUGCACACCUCGAGCCACACUACCCUGCAAGGCCCCGGGUGAUACAGCUGCCAGCAGCCUGGGCACGCUGCCCAGCUGGGCGGGGGAGGGGCUGCCUGAGUGCUGAAUCAGCUGCUCCCUCCCUGCUCUGCUCCUGCCUGCAGCGGCUGGGCAGUGAGGAUGCUGCUGGGUGGGGGUGGCUCCCCCUUUUGGGAACUAUGGGAGCCGAGCCAGGCUGCUGGGGAUUUCUGGAAAGUGGGUCCUGCCGUGCUCUGGCUGGAAAUGCUGCUUCUCCAGAAUGGUGUGGGCCCAAGGUUGGGUGAGGAUCCUCCCUGGGCAGGCCUGGGUGGAGAGGGACCCUUCUCGCAAAAAUCCCAAAAAGGGAGAGGGGCGGGGUGCACUGGUGCUGCAGAGCCUGCAGGCCCCCCCCCACACCUUGCAAGCGCUGAGUCAGCACUAGGAGGUGCCCCGCACCCUCAUGCUGCAUGGCAGGGACGGGGCCUUACCAAGGUCAGGGAGCCUGGGCACCACGCCAGGCUCUGGUCGCUGGCCUCACUGGCCUUCCCAGGGGGGCUAUCAGACCCCUCCCCCUGGCCUUUGCCCUGCCACCCCUUCCCCUUGGCUGCCAUUGAGCAGCAAGGGCACGGCCUGUCAGAGUGCCUGUGUAUGCACAUGUAUGUGUGCUUUGGGUCUGGCCCCUGUGGCCACCUUUCUACCUGGUGCCCAGAGCAGGUGGCAGCCUGGCAUCCUUCUUGGCUUCACUCGCCCUCUGCUGACUCCAGCUUUCCCUUCACCAGUGGAGACCUGCACCCUCUUGGGGCCCUGCCAGAGGGAUGCCCUGUGUGGUGGGUCGCUCCAUGAAGCCAGCACCAAGUGGCCCCUCCCUGUGUGACUCUUCCAUUGGCUCUGCCCUGGGACACCCCCAGGGCUCCCACUUCUCCCCAACCCUCCCCCACUGCCACCCUUCCCCACUCUCCAGGAGGCUGGCUGAGUGCCCGGCUCAGCUCCUAAACCCCCCUGCCUUACCCACCACAGCUGCCCAGCCUGUCCCCUGGGGUCCUCCUCCUUCCCUUCCCAGCAUGCGCUGGGUGGCUGGCAGCCCCACUCUCCCCACUGCACUCCCUCGGCUUGGCCCUGGAAGUCGCCUGCGGCAUCACUGGGCCUUUACCUACCUCUCUGGCAGCCUGGCUGGUGGGGGUGAGGUCAGCUGAGUGAACAGCCACUAGGUCAGGGUCUCUGCGUGCUGCCUCUGGGGCAGCUCCCUACAGCAUGGCUGCCCAGCAGGCCUCAGCUCCUCCUGGCCUCAGCUCCUCUGAGUCCUCCAGAAGGUUCUAAGAGCCACAGGCUGGCCACCAAGUGGGCAUUAGAGUGGUGUGGCCUGCUGCGGCACAGCUGUACCUGGGUCUCUGUGCCACCCAGAUACCGAAGCCCCAACCACUACCUCCAGCACCACCCAAAAGAGUGCCAGACUUCAGGCAAAGAGUCCAGGCCAUCUCCAAGCAUCCCUGGCACAGCUCCACGUGUCAUCUGGCCUUGGGAGAACAGCGCAAUGACCAGAACGCACUUCCAGUUACGGUGCAGAGAGAGGCAGCCCUAUAGGCCCAAGCCCUGGGGUGGCCUCCCUGCCACUGAAGGCCAUAUCAUGCCACCCUCAUCCAAACCCAGCCGCAGGAGGUGCCUUGUCUGGGACCUUGGUCCCCCUGGGUCUGGCUGGACACAGCUACAUGCUCUAGGGACAGUGUGGACAUGCAUCAGCGCAGAGGUGGCUGGACAGGGAGCAGCGACAGCACGCCAGCCCAUAGGCAGCCUGACAGCAGAGGGCCUGGGUCUACUCCUCAGCCUUGUAAACAACGCAAACAACAGAGGAUGCUGCAGAUCUGGGAAGAUGAGGCAGGCCCCAGGGUGCUCCUGGGAGGUGGGCAUCCCCUGGGGCACAGCCACCGUCACACAGGCAGGCUGCAGUCUGUACAUGGGCAGGGUCACUGAGCUGCCACCUCAGGGCCUUCUUCCCCUGGCUGACAGCAGCACUUGCCAGCCUUAGUCCUGGUCCCUUCUCAGUGCCUGGCUGCCCAGAGCAGAGGCUCAGUUCCGACUCAUCAGAACAUCCGAAGGGCUGGGACAGAGCCCAGGGUGCAGCCCAGAUCUAGUGGACUGGAGUUUGUAGCCAGCACCACACCCGCGGACCCAGAGGAUAAACAGACCUAUAGAGUUCAGUUUUACCCAAGACCAGCAGCAAUGGCUAGGCAGCAUCGUGGCACUGUGACAGAUCUGCGUUUCUUCUCAGCGACUUUUUCUGGCUGAAACUAUCAUUUGUGUUGUGUCCCUAGAGGUCUCUGUGAAAGAGGAGACACGGGAACUGCCCUGCGCAGGAGCCAGAGGGGGAAGGAGCUGCCUCAGGAGGAGCCCGCUGUGUACACAGGUGCUGCCCUAGCUCCCAACCGCCCCUGGUUAACCGGGAACAUGCCUGUGGUUCUCUUUCAUCGCUAGGUGCCCCUGCUGUCCCUGACAAAAAGGUACUGAAAACAAGCUGGCAGCCAUGGCCCUGGUCCCCCAGGGGCCACAGGCCCGCAGGUCUCCCCCUCCAAUACUGUGAUUGGCUGCUUUUAAGAAACAUCCCAACUUUGUGGAGAAAAACAGGUUUCUGUAGCUUUUUUGGUUGGUGAUUAUACCCUUAAAGGAGUACAGAUUGUAAACUGCAAGUAA